AUGAAGCAUGAGCCGGGCCACUAACUGUUUGUGAGGUGAACGGUGGACUGUGGUUUGCAGUGAGAAUUCACCUGCCUUGCUCCACUGAGCCACGUUUCCUAAACCCAUGAGCAGCUGUUGCAAGUUGCAACUCUGAGAAAUACUCUUUACAAACCUAAACUGCCUUUUUUUUCUCUUCUCUUGAUCAAGAACCUGCCUCAUUCCUUACAUGCACCGCCUCUCAAGCAACUUAGCAGAUCUACACAGUUGUACCCCAGAAAAGGAAUUCUUUCAGCCAAGGAGUGCAUUGGCUACUUCUCUCAUCCCUGGACCUACUAUCUGACAAGAAGCAGCUUCGUGGAGGAAGGGCUUACAGUUGAAGAGAACAAAUGGUCUAUUCUGGUUGGAAAGACACGGUGGCAGGCGAGUGAGGCGGCUGGUCACGCAUGCUGUGUGGGUUUCCAGCCUUGUGAUGCAGCCUCACACCAGCAGCUCUCCAGAGCUUCCAGGAUUUUAGCCUUGGAGUGAGUGGGGCUUCCAUCUUUGCUCCCUCUCGCUUGGGCUUCCAGCUUCUUGGACCAAAUAGCUGCUUAGUCCCUGACUCUUCAGCUCGUAGACAGAAUUCUAGGAAUACUCAGCUCUGAUCAUAUGUGGAUGAAAUGUGGUCAACCAGCUUCCUGCUCCUGCCCCUGUGCCAUGCCUUCCCCACAUGAUAGAUUUUUAUCUUCCUGUAGCUGUAAGCCAAAAUAAGCAAGCCAUUUCUUCCCCACGUUGCUUCUCAUUUGAAUAUUUUAUCAAAGCAACAGAAAAAUAACAAAUACAAUAGGCACACAUCACCCUCCAUGGCUUAGAAUAGAAACAAAGAGCAAAACCAACCAUAAACAAAAACCUUUAAAAUGUAGUUACAUCCACUGUACAUAAGGGCUGCAAUAUUUAACCUCACCACAAUAUUCUAACUUCUAAAUGGGUGGCAGGAUCCUGGACACUUGUUAGAUCAUUAAAAUUCUAUUAAGAGGCAAGACAGGCCGGGCGGUGGUGGCGCACGCCUUUAAUCCUAGCACUCAGGAGGCAGAGGCAGGCGGA